UGAGGAAUAUUGGUCAAUGGUCUGACGACUGAACCAGCCAUGCCGCGUGAAGGUGACGGCCCUAUGGGUCUUAAACUUCUUUUGUAAGGGAGCAAUAAGGAUCACGUGUGGUCUGAUGAGAGUACCUUACGAAUAAGCAUCGGCUAACUCCGUGCCAGCAGCCGCGGUAAUACGGGGGAUGCAAGCGUUAUCCGGAUUUAUUGGGUUUAAAGGGUGCGUAGGCGGUGUCUUAAGUCAGCGGUGAAAUUUAGGGGCUCAACCUCUACCGUGCCGUUGAUACUGGGAUGCUGGAAUGCGGAUGCCGUGGGAGGAAUGUGUGGUGUAGCGGUGAAAUGCAUAGAUAUCACACAGAACACCGAUUGCGAAGGCAUCUCACGAAUCCGCUAUUGACGCUGAUGCACGAAAGCGUGGGGAUCAAACAGG
rnacentral:rRNA from 2 species